rnacentral:rRNA from 1 species
AGAGUUUGAUCCUGGCUCAGAUUGAACGCUGGCGGCAGGCCUAACACAUGCAAGUCGAACGGUAACAGGAAGCAGCUUGCUGCUUUGCUGACGAGUGGCGGACGGGUGAGUAAUGUCUGGGAAACUGCCUGAUGGAGGGGGAUAACUACUGGAAACGGUGGCUAAUACCGCAUAACGUCGCAAGACCAAAGAGGGGGACCUUCGGGCCUCUUGCCAUCAGAUGUGCCCAGAUGGGAUUAGCUUGUUGGUGAGGUAACGGCUCACCAAGGCGACGAUCCCUAGCUGGUCUGAGAGGAUGACCAGCCACACUGGAACUGAGACACGGUCCAGACUCCUACGGGAGGCAGCAGUGGGGAAUAUUGCACAAUGGGCGCAAGCCUGAUGCAGCCAUGCCGCGUGUAUGAAGAAGGCCUUCGGGUUGUAAAGUACUUUCAGCGGGGAGGAAGGUGUUGUGGUUAAUAACCGCAGCAAUUGACGUUACCCGCAGAAGAAGCACCGGCUAACUCCGUGCCAGCAGCCGCGGUAAUACGGAGGGUGCAAGCGUUAAUCGGAAUUACUGGGCGUAAAGCGCACGCAGGCGGUCUGUCAAGUCGGAUGUGAAAUCCCCGGGCUCAACCUGGGAACUGCAUUCGAAACUGGCAGGCUUGAGUCUUGUAGAGGGGGGUAGAAUUCCAGGUGUAGCGGUGAAAUGCGUAGAGAUCUGGAGGAAUACCGGUGGCGAAGGCGGCCCCCUGGACAAAGACUGACGCUCAGGUGCGAAAGCGUGGGGAGCAAACAGGAUUAGAUACCCUGGUAGUCCACGCCGUAAACGAUGUCUACUUGGAGGUUGUGCCCUUGAGGCGUGGCUUCCGGAGCUAACGCGUUAAGUAGACCGCCUGGGGAGUACGGCCGCAAGGUUAAAACUCAAAUGAAUUGACGGGGGCCCGCACAAGCGGUGGAGCAUGUGGUUUAAUUCGAUGCAACGCGAAGAACCUUACCUGGUCUUGACAUCCACAGAACUUUCCAGAGAUGGACUGGUGCCUUCGGGAACUGUGAGACAGGUGCUGCAUGGCUGUCGUCAGCUCGUGUUGUGAAAUGUUGGGUUAAGUCCCGCAACGAGCGCAACCCUUAUCCUUUGUUGCCAGCGGUUAGGCCGGGAACUCAAAGGAGACUGCCAGUGAUAAACUGGAGGAAGGUGGGGAUGACGUCAAGUCAUCAUGGCCCUUACGACCAGGGCUACACACGUGCUACAAUGGCGCAUACAAAGAGAAGCGACCUCGCGAGAGCAAGCGGACCUCAUAAAGUGCGUCGUAGUCCGGAUUGGAGUCUGCAACUCGACUCCAUGAAGUCGGAAUCGCUAGUAAUCGUGGAUCAGAAUGCCACGGUGAAUACGUUCCCGGGCCUUGUACACACCGCCCGUCACACCAUGGGAGUGGGUUGCAAAAGAAGUAGGUAGCUUAACCUUCGGGAGGGCGCUUACCACUUUGUGAUUCAUGACUGGGGUGAAGUCGUAACAAGGUAACC